GUCACCCGAUCCGACCCUGGUACCCGGAGCGGCCCUGGCGCGGCUGUCGGCUGGCACCAGCUCCCUGCAGGAAGAGUGGAGAGGUUGUUCCCGGCGGGGAGCGGGUACCGGCCGCAUCCCGGCCGGACCAGGGAGCCUGGGCGCCGGCAGUUCGGCUGCUGGUGCGCCGCUCUUUCGGGGGCGCGAGGAAGGAAUUGGAGGGGUCCGCCCCGCGCCUGGGUCCUCUCUGAGUCUCGCCUCAUUCGAGGCACGGGUUUUUCUACAAAAGGAAUGUAUGGUUUGUGGUUGCGCUAGCUCAUCACUUCAAAGAACCAAAGAAGGAAAAGAGAGGGGGCGGGAAGAAAGAUGAGCGAGCUGAGGGGCAGAGAGGAGGAGUAAAGAGAGGCCGGGCAGAGGAGCUCCUUGCAGUUUCGGGCUGUGAGAGCCGAAGCUCACUGAGAUGUGACGCUUCCUGUUGGGUUGAGAACGCACGAAGUCUACGAUGCUUAGACAAAAAAAUCUCAGAAACUAAGAAAUCAUUCGAAUCCAGUUCCUUGUUUAUUCACAAUUAAAACCUUAGUGAUAAAACAGAGGCGACGCGCGGACAGCUCCUGGAAGCAGAAACACGAUUGGGGUGUUUAAUGUGUGUUUUUGGUCUUCUCCCCAAGCAAUGGAAACAGAGUUGCUGCUUCAGUGGUAGUAGUACUUGCAAUUCAAGUAACACUAACUUAAAAUCUACUUUAGACACAGUGGGCGAUAGUAUGAAAGAACCAAGAAGGAUUUCGGCUGUCCUGGAGCUGAUAAUGCUGCAAACAAGGUGAGGGUGCAUACAGUAAGUAGCUGCAAAGCCAUGAGGAUCAUAGAAAAUUUCCCAAGUCCAUGAGGAAAGAAAAAUAUACAGGCAAAAAUUUACAUACAAAUCAGGGCUUUAUUUAUUGUUUCAUCAGUUGAUUAGACUUAAGAAAGUAAUGAAGAAAAUGUCAAAAUAAUGCAGAAUAAACUUAAAAGUGUGUGGUGCUAAUAUCCAUUACAUUGGGAAUAGCCCCCCAAAUUGAGAAAAUAUUAUUUCAGUACAUAUUAGAAAACUAUUUUCUGACUCAGGAAAAAUCUCACUCACAUCAUUGAUGAACAAUAUAUCUAGUGCUAAAACUAGGUUUUAAUUUAAUGACUAUAGCCUGUACUACACUCAUUAUAUAAUAGGGUGACAAAUACUUUAAUAAUAGAUUACAUAUUACAUCCAAUAACAAUACGUUAUUGAUUUAUUAGAAAAUAAAUGGGUAUAUAACUCCAUUUGUCAAAUCAGUUCAGCCGGAACCAUAGGUUGGCUAUGGAUUGCAAAAGUUCUGCAAAAAUCAAUGAAAGCAGUCUGUAGGAACCAAUAGUAAAAUUUACAAAUAGUAAAUUGUGUGUAACAAUCUUUUAUAUCAGAAAAAUUUAUAAUAAAUAUGUAUGUAUAUAAAUGCAUGCGUUUUUCUUUAAGAG
rnacentral:lncRNA from 1 species